rnacentral:hammerhead_ribozyme from 11 species
CUGCGGUCGGGGACUGCGCCUACCUGAUGAGCCCCAAGAAGGGCGAAACCGGUC